rnacentral:rRNA from 1 species
AUACAGAGGGUGCGAGCGUUAAUCGGAAUUACUGGGCGUAAAGCGCGCGUAGGCGGAUGAUUAAGUCAGUUGUGAAAGCCCUGGGCUCAACCUAGGAACUGCAUCUGAUACUGGUCAUCUAGAGUUUAAGAGAGGGAAGUGGAAUUCCAGGUGUAGCAGUGAAAUGCGUAGAUAUCUGGAGGAACAUCAGUGGCGAAGGCGACUUCCUGGCUUAAAACUGACGCUGAGGUGCGAAAGCGUGGGUAGCGAACGGGAUUAGAAACCCUAGUAGUCC